rnacentral:rRNA from 1 species
GUUAGUUUUUAAGAGCGUUCGGUGGAUGCCUUGGUAUCAGGGGCCGAUGAAGGACGUGGUGGACUGCGAUAAGCCUCGGGGAGCUGUCUGACAGGCUUUGAUCCGAGGGUUUCCGAAUAGGGGAACCUAGCAAGAGUAAUGUCUUGUUACCUGCGCCUGAAUGUAUAGGGCGUGUGGGGGUGUACGCGGGGAAGUGAAACAUCUUAGUACCCGCAGGAAAAGAUAUUCCGUUAGUAGUGGCGAGCGAAAGCGGAUUAGGUGAAACCGUGUUAGUGUGAUAGACGCCAGUUGUUGCUGAUGCGGGGUUGUGGGGCGUGUUUGUUACAUUCUCUGGCGGGGGUGUGCGUAGUUAUAAAUGUUUGGUGUAGUUGAAUAGUCUGGGAAGGCUAAGCGUAGACGGUGAUACUCCGGUAGGCGAAACAUCAGGCACUGCGUUGGACAUGUUUUCCCCAAGUAGCACGGGGCUCGUGGAAUCUUGUGUGAAUUUGCUAAGACCACUUAGCUGCCUAAAUACUUCCUGGUAACCGAUAGCGGAUAAGUACCGUGAGGGAAUGGUGAAAAGUACCCCGGGAGGGGAGUGAAAUAGUACCUGAAACCGGGCGCUUACAAGCCGUCAAAGCCCUUUUUUGGGGGUGAUGGCGUGCCUAUUGAAGAAUGAGCCUGCGAGUUAGUGGCGUGUCGCGAGGUUAACCCGUGUGGGGGAUCCGUAGCGAAAGCGAGUCUGAAAGGGCGUAUAGUGGCACGUUCUAGACCCGAAGCGGGGUGAUCUACCCAUGGCCAGGUUGAAGCACGUGUAAGAGCGUGUGGAGGACCGAACCCACUUCAGUUGAAAAUGGAGGGGAUGAGCUGUGGGUAGGGGUGAAAGGCCAAUCAAACUCCGUGAUAGCUGGUUCUCCCCGAAAUGCAUUUAGGUGCAGCGUUGCGUGGUUCCGGGCGGGGGUAGAGCUACUGGAUGGCUGAUGGGCCUUACAGGGUUACUGACGUCAACCAAACUCCGAAUACCGUCCGGGUAUAGCGUGGCAGUGAGACAGCGGGGGAUAAGCUCCGUUGUCGAGAGGGAAACAGCCCAGAUCGCCGGCUAAGGCCCCUAAGCGUGUGCUAAGUGGGAAAGGAUGUGCGGUCGCGUUGACAACCAGGAGGUUGGCUUAGAAGCAGCCAUCCUUGAAAGAGUGCGUAAUAGCUCACUGGUCAAGUGAUCGUGCGCCGACAAUGUAGCGGGGCUCAAGCACACCGCCGAAGCCGCGGAUCCUCAACAAAUACCCUGUCGCUAUGCGGCCAGGGGUUGGGGGUGGUAGGGGAGCGUUGUGUACUGGGUGAAGCGGCCGAGUAAUUGUGUCGUGGACGGUACGCAAGUGAGAAUGCAGGCAUGAGUAGCGAUACUAGGGUGAGAAACCCUAGCGCCGAAUGACCAAGGGUUCCAGGGCUAGGCUAGUCCGCCCUGGGUGAGUCGGGUCCUAAGGCGAGGCCGACAGGCGUAGUCGAUGGAUAACCGGUUGAUAUUCCGGUACCGGCUGGUAACCGUCAAGUGUUGACUGAAAGGUACUAACCCACGCUAAAAACACGGCUGAAUGCCUUUUGGGUGUUUGGUUGUGGUUUUGGUUUGGGGACAGGCUUUCUUGGUAGGCAAGCGUGUGGAGUGACGCACAGUGGAAGCCUUCGCGAGGUGAUGGUUUAUCCUCGUUUAACCGUGUAGCUUACUGCUCAGGUAAAUCCGGGUGGUUUUAUGUGAGGCGGGAUGAUGACCAUCUUUUGGUGGGAAGUAGGGGUGAUCCUGUGGUGCCGAGAAAAGCUUCGACGCGAGGUUGUUAGCCGCCCGUACCCUAAACCGACACAGGUGGUCGGGCAGAGUAUGCCUAGGCGCACGAGAUAAUCAUGGUUAAGGAACUCGGCAAAAUGCCCCCGUAACUUCGGGAGAAGGGGGGCCUGAUACUUGAUGAAACCAUUUUUGGCUUUCUAGGGUUGAGGGUCGCAGAGACCAGGGAGAAGCGACUGUUUACUAAAAACACAGGUGCGUGCGAAGCCGUAAGGCGAUGUAUACGUACUGACGCCUGCCCGGUGCUGGAAGGUUAAGAGGAACCGUCAGCUGACUUUUUGUUGGUGAAGCGGUGAAUUUAAGCCCCAGUAAACGGCGGUGGUAACUAUAACCAUCCUAAGGUAGCGAAAUUCCUUGUCGGGUAAGUUCCGACCUGCACGAAUGGCGUAACGACUUCUCUACUGUCUCAACCAUGAACUCGGCGAAAUUGCAUUACGAGUAAAGAUGCUCGUUACGCGCAGAAGGACGGAAAGACCCCGGGACCUUUACUAUAGCUUGGUAUUGGUGCGCGUUAUAGCUUGUGUAGGAUAGGUGGGAGACUGUGAAGUGGUCACGCUAGUGAUUGUGGAGUCGUUGUUGAAAUACCACUCUGGUUAUAGCGUGUGCCUGAACCUUGGCCCGUGAUCCGGGUUAGGGACAGUGCCUGGUGGGUAGUUUAACUGGGGCGGUU